rnacentral:lncRNA from 1 species
CCAGGCCUGUCUCCCCAGCAAUUGGCUGCUCUGGGCUUUUCUACUCAAAGGCUGUGGCAGGCGGAAAUGCUGAACUAGAUGAUUCCAUGGACACUGUCCAUAAAACCCCUCAUUUUGUGGGACAUUCCUCUGGUGGAGGGGGCUGAUGUGGUGGAGAAAUGACGGUGAGUAUUUUUUAGUGCAAUAUUAACUCAUGUCGGAUGUAACGAGUAACAGUGCAAUGAAGUGAACUCAGACCCAGCCAAGCCAUUAAGAAAAUGUGCCAUUAGGGAAAGGGCCGGGCUUGGCUCUAGGAGACACUCGCCAGGUCUACACUUGAGUAUGUUCAAG